UGCAAGUCGAGCGGAAAGGCCCCUUCGGGGGUACUCGAGCGGCGAACGGGUGAGUAACACGUGAGCAACCUGCCCCUGACUCUGGGAUAAGCCCGGGAAACUGGGUCUAAUACCGGAUACGACCAGCCCCUGCAUGGGGUGCUGGUGGAAAGUUUUUCGGUUGGGGAUGGGCUCGCGGCCUAUCAGCUUGUUGGUGGGGUGAUGGCCUACCAAGGCGACGACGGGUAACCGGCCUGAGAGGGCGACCGGUCACACUGGGACUGAGACACGGCCCAGACUCCUACGGGAGGCAGCAGUGGGGAAUAUUGCGCAAUGGGCGGAAGCCUGACGCAGCGACGCCGCGUGAGGGAUGACGGCCUUCGGGUUGUAAACCUCUUUCAGCAGGGACGAAGCUAACGUGACGGUACCUGCAGAAGAAGCGCCGGCUAACUACGUGCCAGCAGCCGCGGUAAUACGUAGGGCGCAAGCGUUGUCCGGAAUUAUUGGGCGUAAAGAGCUCGUAGGCGGUUUGUCGCGUCUGUCGUGAAAGCCCACGGCUUAACCGUGGGUCUGCGGUGGAUACGGGCAGACUAGAGGCAGGUAGGGGAGAAUGGAAUUCCCGGUGUAGCGGUGAAAUGCGCAGAUAUCGGGAGGAACACCGGUGGCGAAGGCGGUUCUCUGGGCCUGUACUGACGCUGAGGAGCGAAAGCGUGGGGAGCGAACAGGAUUAGAUACCCUGGUAGUCCACGCCGUAAACGUUGGGCGCUAGGUGUGGGGUCCUUCCACGGAUUCCGCGCCGCAGCUAACGCAUUAAGCGCCCCGCCUGGGGGAGUACGGCCGCAAGGCUAAAACUCAAAGGAAUUGACGGGGGCCCGCACAAGCGGCGGAGCAUGUUGCUUAAUUCGACGCAACGCGAAGAACCUUACCAAGGCUUGACAUCGCCGGAAACC
rnacentral:rRNA from 1 species